UCCGUAGGUGGCAAGCGUUGUCCGGAAUUAUUGGGCGUAACGCGCGCGCAGGCGGUCCUUUAAGUCUGAUGUGAAAGCCCACGGCUCAACCGUGGAGGGUCAUUGGAAACUGGGGGACUUGAGUACAGAAGAGGAAAGUGGAAUUCCACGUGUAGCGGUGAAAUGCGUAGAGAUGUGGAGGAACACCAGUGGCGAAGGCGACUUUCUGGUCUGUAACUGACGCUGAGGCGCGAAAGCGUGGGGAGCAAACAGG
rnacentral:rRNA from 1 species